rnacentral:rRNA from 1 species
GACGUAGGGCGCGAGCGUUGUCCGGAAUUAUUGGGCGUAAAGAGCUCGUAGACGGUCUGUCGCGUCGGCUGUGAAAACUCGGGGCUCAACCCCGAGCCUGCAGUCGAUACGGGCAGACUAGAGUGCUGUAGGGGAGACUGGAAUUCCUGGUGUAGCGGUGAAAUGCGCAGAUAUCAGGAGGAACACCGGUGGCGAAGGCGGGUCUCUGGGCAGUAACUGACGCUGAGGAGCGAAAGCGUGGGGAGCGAACAGG